rnacentral:rRNA from 1 species
GAUGAACGCUGGCGGCGUGCUUAACACAUGCAAGUCGAACGAAGCACUUAUCUUUGAUUCUUCGGAUGAAGAGGUUUGUGACUGAGUGGCGGACGGGUGAGUAACGCGUGGGUAACCUGCCUCAUACAGGGGGAUAACAGUUAGAAAUGACUGCUAAUACCGCAUAAGACCACGGAGCCGCAUGGCUCAGUGGGAAAAACUCCGGUGGUAUGAGAUGGACCCGCGUCUGAUUAGGUAGUUGGUGGGGUAACGGCCUACCAAGCCAACGAUCAGUAGCCGACCUGAGAGGGUGACCGGCCACAUUGGGACUGAGACACGGCCCAAACUCCUACGGGAGGCAGCAGUGGGGAAUAUUGCACAAUGGGGGAAACCCUGAUGCAGCGACGCCGCGUGAGCGAAGAAGUAUUUCGGUAUGUAAAGCUCUAUCAGCAGGGAAGAAAAUGACGGUACCUGACUAAGAAGCACCGGCU